rnacentral:lncRNA from 1 species
CCGGGAUCCCUAAGAUCUCCCGGAUACAAGUCCAGGAUCCCCAAGAUCUCCUGGCAAAGAAGACCCUGAGACAUAGAGACCUCAGAGGUAGAAGGCCGGGAUCCCCAAGAUCUCCCGGAUACAAGUCUAGGAUCCCCAAGAUCUCCUGGCAAAGAAGACCCUGAGACAUAGAGACCUCAGAGGUAGAAGACCGGGAUCCCCAAGAUCUCCCGGAAAUACAAGUCCAGGAUCCCCAAGAUCUCCUGGCAAUGAAGACCCUGAGACAUAGAGACCUCAGAGGUAGAAGACCGGGAUCCCCAAGAUCUCCCGGAAAUACAAGUCCAGGAUCCCCAAGAUCUCCUGGCAA